UUCAUCAAAAAACAUGCUAUAGGUAAAAAGCUCUGAAGGACCAGCUAUGUAUAUGAUAAUUAUGUUUCAGACCUUCUAGAGUAUUAUAUAUAAUAACUUGUCUUCUGGACGUGGUCUUGAAGUCUUUAUGGAUUCAGCCUCAGUAGUAGCGAACUGCACUGCUACUUGGUUUGGAGUACAAAUUAGACUUUAGCCCUCCUGGAAGUUGAGUUUCUGGUAUUGAAAACCAUAGGAAUGAAAUUAUUGUAUUUCAACAAAGGAUCGAGGGCUUGAGGCUUAAACAAGGCAACAUAUGUGUGGGAAGCAGUCAGCCUUGAGAGCAGGCUACGGACAUGCCAGGCAUGCGGCCGCUGCUCGAAGGGACUGUCCCUACUUGUUCCCCUCCUUGUUCCAUUCCAUGGGAGAUAAAUCACCAGGGCCCAGAAAUCAGAAAGAAUGUAAAAUGAGACAAGCAAAGCUGUCUCCCCCCUGCACAUCCAGGUUAUUUUUGAUGAUUCUGGGUUUAUGGGUUUCCUCCCAGGGAAGUUAACCUUGAGCCGAGACAGUCUGUAGAUAAUGUAAACCACCAUCUGGCAACCUUCCUUUUUCUAGUCUAUAUAAUCUGCCACUGUAGCAUAAUAAAAUUUGCCUUGCAACCAUCAGUUGUCUUGGUCCUUCUGACCCCAUUCAUCGGUGCUACUUCAGUUCCUUACCCCUUCCCUUCUGACCCUGGGCGGUGAAAUCCUCUUUCUCCGGCUGGUCCGCGGCAAGUGGCACUCGAACAGGAAGCGUGAAGGCAAUUAAAAGAAAAAGAAAGUGCAGGUAAGAGAACCCUUAUGCAAAAUAUGUGUGGCCACCAGUAAAAGUGAAACUAAUAGAGGCAUAAGGCAAUAGUCAGAAGUAAAAUAAGAUGGGGCAAAAGGCUCAAAGGAGUGUGAAUUAUUUGCUCAGGUUUUACUUUCCAUGCUUAAAGCUCGGGGUAAUAAAGUUUCUACCUUCACAGUUGACUGAAUUUUUACAGCAUAUCCAUGGUGUAUCUCCCUGGUUUCCUGAUGGCGGCUCUGUUGACAUAGAAAUCUGGCAGAAAGUUGGAGAAGAUUUAAAAAAUUAUUAUGAGGCUCGAGGGCCUACUCAUACUCCUGUUGUUACAUAUAGUUUGUGGAAUCUGAUAAAAAUAUGUUUAGAUUCUUCUCAUGAUAGUGUUGAUUUGAAUGUAAAGUCAGAAAGACAUAAGCCUCUGGCAGAAGGAGAGACUGUAGUAUCAGCUACCGUGUCGCCACUUCCUAAACUGAAAGAGCUAAUUAAUUUAAAUAUUUUAGAUGAAGAGGAACAUUUUGACUUAACAGAUGAGGCUUUUAAACAUAAAAGAGAGAACUAUCCUGAGGAUGAUUUUCUAAUGGCUGUGAUAGAUAAGUCAGUGAAAAAGCUGCAGGUUAAUAAGGACUGUCUUCCUCAAAAAUCCACAUCUGUAAAAAUGCUCAGUCCCUUGCAGCGCGCUGUACAAGGAGCCAUAAAACGAGGAGAAGAUCCUAUUUUCUGUUGUCCCGUCAUAGAAAGACCUGAUCCUAAUAAUCCUCAACAAGCUACUAGGGAGCAUCAGGCUCUCCCUUCUAAAGUUUUGAAAGAUUGAAAAUCUGCCUGUUCUCAAUAUGGGCCCACUGCUCCUUUUACUGCUGCUAUGGUUGACAGGAGAAGCUCUUCCCCCCGCUGAUUGGAAGUCUAUUGCACGAGCUUGUUUAAAUGGUGGAGAUUAUUUAAUAUGGAAGUUUGAUUUUUAUGAACGGGCUGCUGAACAAGCAGAAAAGAAUGCUGCCCAUAAUAUUGCAGUUGAUUAUCAUAUACUGAUUGGGAAGGACAAUAUAUUUCUUUACAAGAUCAAUUAACUUAUCCCUUUGUUGCUUAUCCUCAAAUAAAUCAUUUGGCAUUACAAGCCUGGAGGAAAUGACCUUCUACACACAAAACUGAGGAUCUUUCAACAAUUAGACAGGGACCUGAUGAACCAUAUGCUGAUCUUGUAGAUAGGUUGUCACAGGCGGUGGGGAGACUCAUUGUGGACGGACUCACUGGUACAAUUGUAGUUAAGCAGCUUGCUUUUGAGAAUGCUAAUAAUGCGUCUCAGGCUGCGAUUCGACCUUGGAGAAAACAGGGAACAUUGGAGGAUUAUAUUCGCCUUUGUGCAGACAUUGGGCCUGCUUAUAUACAGGGUGCUGCUAUGGCUGCAGCAUUAACUAAAGUGGGGUUUAAAAACAAUCAAAAGAAAACGAAGACUUGUUUUAAAUGCGGAAAGGCAGGUCAUUUUGCUAGAGAAUGUAGAUCUUUUAAUUCUAACCCUAGUCCUUCCUUCCCUACUCAAAAACCUCCAGAUGGUCAGAAAAUCCCUGGUUUAUGCCCUAAAUGCAAUAGGGGAAAACACUGGGCACAAGAUUGUUGCUCAGUGGCCCACAACGAUGGGACACCACUGUCAGGAAACUCCUCCCGGGGCCUUCCCCGGCCCCAACAAAUAAUAAGGGCAGUGUCUGUGUAUCCUCCUCAAAUUAUCAAUCAGACGUUAACCAAAAACAAAAACAUACAAUAUCCUUGCUCUCCAGAGCAACACCAGGAAGCGCAGGACUGGAGCUCAGUACCUCCGCCCGCUAUGUAUUAACUCCUGAAAUGGGUCCUCAGGCCCUCUCUAUGGGCAUCUAUGGACCUUUACCCAAGGGUUUGAUGGGACUAUUAUUGGGAAGAAGUAGUGUCACCAUGAAAGGUUUAACUAUUAUACCAGGAGUCAUAGAUUCUGACUAUGAAGGAGAAAUAAAAGUCAUGGCACAAACUAUUAAAAACAUAAUAACUAUUUCUUCUGGUGAUAAAAUUGCACAAUUGCUACUUUUGCCCUUUGUACCUCAUGGACAAAUUUUACAACAUCAAAAGAGAGAAACAAAGGCUUUGGAUCAUCUAAUGCUGCCUACUGGAUUCAGAAGAUAGGGAAAGAACGUCCAGAAAUGAAAUGAACCAUUAAUGGAAAGGUUUUUUCAGGUUUGUUAGACACUGGAGCUGAUGUCUCUGUUAUGACGCAGGUACACUGGCCUAAACAUUGGCCCAUUAGUCCUACUAUUACAGAACUUCAAGGAAUAGGACAAAGUUCUUCUCCUAUGCAAAGCAGUCAGUUAUUAUUAUGGCAAGAUAGUGAGGGCCAUUCAGGAUACUUCCAGCCUUAUGUUUUGCCUGGGCUGCCUUUAAACCUCUGGGGCCGAGAUAUAUUAAAAGAAAUGGGAGUAUUACUUUAUAGUCCAAAUUCCCAAGUCUCUAAUAUGUUGUUGGAUCAAGGAUUUCUUCCCACAAAAGGGCUGGGAACAAAUCAACAAGGAACUGUCUAUCCUAUUGAUGUGAAAAUAAAAAAUGAUAGACAAGGUUUGGGUUUUUCUUAGGGGCCUUGGAUUCUCCUCCACUCACUGCUGAUCCAAUUACUUGGCUGACUGAUGACCCUGUAUGGGUGGACCAAUGGCCCCUCACAAAGGAGAAAUUAGAAGCUGCAGAACAAUUAGUACUGGAACAAUUAGGGCAUUUAGAAAUUUCCUGUAGUCCUUGAAAUACUCCUAUUUUUAUUAUCAAGAAAAAAUCUGGAAAGUAUAGGUUAUUACAGGAUCUAAGAGCUGUUAAUAAAACUAUGCUAACAAUGGGAGCUCUUCAACCAGGCCUACCCUCUCCAACAGCCAUACCACACAAUUAUCACCUUUUAGUUAUAGAUUUAAAAGAUUGUUUUUUCACUAUUCCUUUGUUUCCUGAAGAUAGAAAACAUUUUGCUUUUAGCUUGCCUUCCUUAAAUUUUAAGGAACCCAUGAGGAGAUUUCAAUGGAAAGUAUUGCCUCAGGGCAUGGCAAAUAGUCCUACAUUAUGCCAAAAAUAUGUGGCUCAGGCCUUGACUCCUGUGAGAAAAAGGUUUCCAUCGUUAUAUCUCAUACAUUAUAUGGAUGAUAUACUUUUAGCCACUGAUAAUAUUUCUUUAUUAGAGACUGCUUUUCAAUUUUUACAACAGUCCUUACAAUCAUUUGGCUUGGUCAUUGCCUCAAAAAAAAUUCAAAGACAAUCUCCAUUUUUAUAUUUGGGGAAAUAUAUUGAUAACACUACUAUUAGGCCUCAAAAACUGCAAAUUCGAGUUGAUAAUUUAAAAACAUUAAAUGAUUUUCAAAAAUUACUUGGAGAUAUUAAUUGGCUAAGGCCUUCCUUAAAACUUACUACUGCUCAAUUACAGCCUUUGUUUGAUAUUCUUAAAGGUGACUCAGAUCCUCUUCUUCACGCUCUAUGACUCCAGAAGGGUUUCAAGCUUUACAAAUAGUCAAUAGAUCUAUCAGUUCUACACAAUUAACUAGAAUUCAUACUCACCUUCCAAUUUUCUUAAUAAUUUGUCCAACUCCUCAUGUGCCUACUGCCGUCUUAUGGCAAACUGUUGGAAUUAUUGAAUAGAUUCAUAUGAAAACUACACCCUCUAAAGUUAUUAACCCUUAUUAUGAACUUAUUAGUAAUUUAAUAAUGCAAGGUAGAACUAGAUGCUUACAACCUAUAAGUAUAGAACCUUCUCAAAUUAUUAUCCCUUAUUCAGUUAGUCAACAAAAUUGGCUUUUUCAACAUAGUAAUGAAUGGGGUCUUGCUCUUGCAGGAUUUUCAGGUACCUUGGAAUGCCAUUACCCUGCUGAUAAAUUGAUCCAAUUCAGCAAACUUAACUCAUAUCUUUCCUUCUAUAAUUAGGCAACAGCCUGUUCCUCAUGUACCUUUGGUUUUUACAGACGGUUCUUCUUCAAGAGUGGCUACUGUAAUCUUUGAUGACGGAACAAAACUCAUUAAAGAAACUUCCUUGACUUCAGCUUAACGUGUUGAACUGUUUGCUGUCAUUAUGGCUUUUAAACAUUUGCCUUCUAUAUCUUUUAAUUUGUUUUCUGAUAGUAAAUAUCUUAUUAGCUUAUUAUUUCUUCUGGAGACUGCGACCAUAGGACAUACUAAUGACCCUGAAUUAUCAUCCUCUUUUCGUUUGCUUCAACAGCUUAUUCGUUCCCACGAUGGUUCUGUUGCAGGUCUGUAUAUCCGUGCUCAUUCUAACUUGCCUGGUCCAUUGGCUAAACUUAAUGCGACUGCAGAUGUUUUAACUAGAUCUAAAUGUGAUCUUUAUCCUGUACAUUUUCCUCCCAAGAAUAGAGUUGAAGUUACUCCUCCUUCUCAAUCUCUUUUCCCUAAAGCAGGACGUGUCCCAAUUUACCGUACUCCUCCUUUCCGUUUGUCAUGCUGUCAAGAAUGGCUAAUGUACUGCAUUCAUUAUCUUCAUACUGUUGAUACUCAUGGUCCAUGUCCUGGACACCCUCAUAUUAUGGUAAGUUAUGAUCAAACUGCUUCACAAGCAGCACAGCAAUUGCACGCUUUACACCAUCAGUCGGCGGCUACAUUACACACACAAUUUUCCCUUACUCGUGAAGCCGCCUGACAAAUUGUUAAGCAAUGCCCACAAUGCUUACCUCACCUUCCUGUUCCACAUUAUGUUGUUAAUCCUCGUGGAUUAUUACCUAGACAUUUAUGGCAAAUGGAUGUUACUCAUAUCCCGUCUUUUGGGAAAUUACAGUUUGUUCAUGUCACUAUCGAUACUUAUUCUGGUUUCCUCUGUGCUACAGCACAGACCGGAGAAGCUACUAAACAUGUUAUCACUCAUUUAUUACACUGUUUUGCUUUCAUGAACCUUCCCAAAAUUAUUAAAACAGAUAAUGGGCCCGCAUACUCUAGUGCUGCUUUUGCAACAUUUUGUAAUUCAUUACAAAUUACCCAUAUUACAGGCAUUCCAUAUAACCCUCAAGGACAAGGUAUUAUAGAACGUGCAAAUAGAUCUUUAAAGCUAACUAUUGAAAAAAUAAAAAGGGGGGAAUUGUAUAGAACAACACCACAUAACCUUAUAAAUCAUGUUCUGUUUAUUUUAAAUUUUCUCACUGUUGACAAAUUUGGCUGCUCUGCAGGGGAAAGGUUGGUGGCUGAGCCAAGAUUGGCUUCUCAAUCUCCGGAGAUCCUCUGGAAAGAUCCGUUAACCAGCACUUGGCGUGGUCCUGAUCCUGUGUUGAUUUGGGGACGUGGUCACGUGUGUAUCUUUCCCAGAUCAGCGCCUGGACCUCGCUGGCUUCCUGAGCACUUAGUCAAGCAAAUAGAUGACUCACCACAGCUCACAACUAGUUCAGAAGAUGAAGAAGCUCUGCAUCUCUCCCGAAAAUUUGACAGUGUUGAUUCAGAAAGAGAAGAAGAAGAGGAGACCACUUGCCAGGACGACUCAAAGGAGUGAUGUUCCAACUUGGGGACAAAUUAAACAAUUGGUUUCACUAGCUCAAGAGUUAGUGAAACAACAGAAUAAUCCUGUUACACCUGUAACUUUAUUUUUGGCUAUGUUGGCAACCAUUUCAUGUGUUCCCUCUGUUAAUGCAGCAACUUACUGGGCCUAUGUACCUGAUCCUCCACCAUUACAACCCAUAUCUUGGUCUGAAGCAGAGUUUCCUGUAUUUUACAAUGAUAACUGUUUAUGGGCCUCUUAUUGGGAAUAUAAAACAAAUCAAUAUGUCUGUAAAUUAUACUAACUGGUUUAGUACCCAACCUGUCUGUCUUAGCCCAUUGAAUCUGGAAACUGGAUGUGUAAAGGCUAUUAGUUAUGAGCAUACAGAUGUUUAUGAGGGAACGGAUCAAUCAAUUAGUUUGUCAGGCUCUCCAGGCAUCCUUCGUUUUACAGGAACCAACAUUACUCUUAUAUGCCCGGCUACCAGCUGACGAGAGGAUCUUAAGGAUACCGUCAUUUGGUAUAAAAUGGGCAACCUAUUAAUAUUAGAGGUCAAAUCUCAUACGCCUCACCACUUAGGGAUUCCGCUAUUACUAUAGCCAAGGUUACUAUUCUUAACAGAAAAUCAAAAAAUCAAUUUCCUCCUUUUAUGACCGUUAACUUUCCUGGAUCCACUUUUAACCAAAUAUGGUGUACUAUAGAUUAUACCAAGAGGUCAAUUCUUUUUUUUUUUUUUUUAAGAGGUCAAUUCUUAUCUCUUCUAUUCCCAUCAUAGAUAG